rnacentral:rRNA from 1 species
GACGAACGCUGGCGGCGCGCUUAACACAUGCAAGUCGAACGGAAAGGCCCUGCUUUUGUGGGGUGCUCGAGUGGCGAACGGGUGAGUAACACGUGAGUAACCUGCCCUUGACUUUGGGAUAACUUCAGGAAACUGGGGCUAAUACCGGAUAGGAGCUCCUGCUGCAUGGUGGGGGUUGGAAAGUUUCGGCGGUUAGGGAUGGACUCGCGGCUUAUCAGCUUGUUGGUGGGGUAGUGGCUUACCAAGGCUUUGACGGGUAGCCGGCCUGAGAGGGUGACCGGCCACAUUGGGACUGAGAUACGGCCCAGACUCCUACGGGAGGCAGCAGUGGGGAAUAUUGCACAAUGGGCGGAAGCCUGAUGCAGCAACGCCGCGUGCGGGAUGACGGCCUUCGGGUUGUAAACCGCUUUCGCCUGUGACGAAGCGUGAGUGACGGUAAUGGGUAAAGAAGCACCGGCUAACUACGUG